rnacentral:lncRNA from 1 species
GACCCCUAUGGAUCCCCACGUAUACUAGUAGGCUGGUAAAAGAGGAAAAAUAUGUUGUGUAAUGAUUGAAUUACAAAAGGCGUGAUAAGUAUUAUGUUAUACAGUUUAUAUGAUUUCAUGAUGAUGAUAAUGUUAUUGCUUUCGUAUAUUGUUUUAUGAAUUUCACGAGGUAAGUGGAUGGUAAAGGUUUUAUUAUUGAUAAAAGGAUUUGUUGUAAAUUAUGCUCCAUUGGUCUUUUUGUGUUUUCUACCCACCUUUACUUCCGUGACGGUGAGAUAUCGUGAUGUCUUUACUGGGCUAGUGUAGCUCAUUCCUUAUUUAAUCAUUUC